rnacentral:rRNA from 1 species
CCGGUUGAUCCUGCCAGAGGUUACUGCUAUCGAGGUUCGACUAAGCCAUGCGAGUCGAAUGUAGCAAUACAUGGCGAACUGCUCAGUAACACGUGGACAACCUGCCCUUAGGUUGGGUAUAAACCCGGGAAACUGGGUAUAAUACCCGAUAGGUCUCGAUUGCUGGAAUGCAUCGAGAUUUAAAGCUCCGGCGCCUAAGGAUGGGUCUGCGGCCUAUCAGGUAGUAGUGGGUGUAGCGUACCUACUAGCCUACGACGGGUACGGGUUGUGAGAGCAAGAGCCCGGAGAUGGAUUCUGAGACACGAAUCCAGGCCCUACGGGGUGCAGCAGGCGCGAAAACUUUACAAUGCGGGAAACCGUGAUAAGGGAAUCUCGAGUGCCAGCAUAUAAUGUUGGCUGUCCAGAUGCCUAAAAAGCAUCUGUUAGCAAGGGCCGGGCAAGACCGGUGCCAGCAGCCGCGGUAAUU